rnacentral:rRNA from 1 species
CCUACGGGAGGCUGCAGUGGGGAAUAUUGCACAAUGGGCGCAAGCCUGAUGCAGCCAUGCCGCGUGUGUGAAGAAGGCCUUCGGGUUGUAAAGCACUUUCAGCGGGGAGGAAGGCGGUGAGGUUAAUAACCUCAUCGAUUGACGUUACCCGCAGAAGAAGCACCGGCUAACUCUGUGCCAGCAGCCGCGGUAAUACGGAGGGUGCAAGCGUUAAUCGGAAUUACUGGGCGUAAAGCGCACGCAGGCGGUCUGUCAAGUCGGAUGUGAAAUCCCCGGGCUCAACCUGGGAACUGCAUUCGAAACUGGCAGGCUAGAGUCUUGUAGAGGGGGGUAGAAUUCCAGGUGUAGCGGUGAAAUGCGUAGAGAUCUGGAGGAAUACCGGUGGCGAAGGCGGCCCCCUGGACAAAGACUGACGCUCAGGUGCGAAAGCGUGGGGAGCAAACAGGAUUAGAUACCCCAGUAGUC